rnacentral:rRNA from 1 species
UACGUAGGGGCCUAGCGUUGUCCGGAUUUAUUGGGCGUAAAGAGCGUGUAGGCGGCCAGACAGGUCCGUUGUGAAAACUCGAGGCUCAACCUCGAGACGUCGACGGAAACCGUCUGGCUAGAGUCCGGAAGAGGAGUGUGGAAUUCCUGGUGUAGCGGUGAAAUGCGCAGAUAUCAGGAAGAACACCUAUGGCGAAGGCAGCACUCUGGGACGGUACUGACGCUGAGACGCGAAAGCGUGGGGAGCGAACAGG